rnacentral:rRNA from 2 species
GCGUCUACCAUGCAGUCGAACGGAAAGGCCCGCUUGCGGGUACUCGAGUGGCGAACGGGUGAGUAACACGUGGGCAACCUGCCCUCAGCUUUGGGAUAACACAAAGAAAUUUGUGCUAAUACCGGAUAAUAAACGGCCGCGCAUGUGGUUGUUUUGAAAGUUUUUCGGCUGGGGAUGGGCCCGCGGCCUAUCAGCUUGUUGGUGGGGUAAUGGCCUACCAAGGCGACGACGGGUAGCCGGCCUGAGAGGGCGACCGGCCACACUGGAACUGAGACACGGUCCAGACUCCUACGGGAGGCAGCAGUGGGGAAUAUUGCGCAAUGGGCGGAAGCCUGACGCAGCGACGCCGCGUGAGGGAUGAAGGUCUUCGGAUUGUAAACCUCUUUCAGCAGGGACGAAGCGCAAGUGACGGUACCUGCAGAAGAAGCACCGGCCAACUACGUGCCAGCAGCCGCGGUAAUACGUAGGGUGCAAGCGUUGUCCGGAAUUAUUGGGCGUAAAGAGCUCGUAGGCGGUUUGUCGCGUCGAAUGUGAAAGCCCGGGGCUCAACUCCGGGUCUGCAUUCGAUACGGGCAAACUAGAGUUCGGUAGGGGAGUCUGGAAUUCCUGGUGUAGCGGUGAAAUGCGCAGAUAUCAGGAGGAACACCGGUGGCGAAGGCGGGACUCUGGGCCGAUACUGACGCUGAGGAGCGAAAGCGUGGGGGAGCGAACAGGAUUAGAUACCCUGGUAGUCCACGCCGUAAACGGUGGGCGCUAGGUGUGGGGGACUUCCACGUUCUCUGUGCCGCAGCUAACGCAUUAAGCGCCCCGCCUGGGGAGUACGGCCGCAAGGCUAAAACUCAAAGGAAUUGACGGGGGCCCGCACAAGCGGCGGAGCAUGCUGAUUAAUUCGAUGCAACGCGAAGAACCUUACCAAGGCUUGACAUGUACAGGAAAGUUCCAGAAAUGGUUCCCCCGCAAGGUCUGUAUACAGGUGGUGCAUGGUUGUCGUCAGCUCGUGUCGUGAGAUGUUGGGUUAAGUCCCGCAACGAGCGCAACCCUCGUCUUAUGUUGCCAGCACGUGAUGGUGGGGACUCAUAAGAGACUGCCGGGGUCAACUCGGAGGAAGGUGGGGAUGAGGUCAAAUCAUCAUGCCCCUUAUGUCUUGGGCUUCAAGCAUGCUACAAUGGCCGGUACAAAGGGCUGCGAUACCGCGAGGUGGAGCGAAUCCCAAAAAGCCGGUCUCAGUUCGGAUUGGGGUCUGCAACUCGACCCCAUGAAGUCGGAGUCGCUAGUAAUCGCAGAUCAGCAACGCUGCGGUGAAUACGUUCCCGGGCCUUGUACACACCGCCCGUCACGUCACGAAAGUCGGUAACACCCGAAGCCGGUGGCCUAACCCCUUGUGGGAGGGAGC